GAAUCAAGGAACCCAAAAAAAAGCUUCUAACUUUAUUUUUAAGCGGCGAAACCCGUUUUUGAUUCG
rnacentral:tRNA from 1 species